rnacentral:rRNA from 1 species
AAAAUAUAGUCAAAGACUGAGGAUGGCCCUCUUUAAUCUAUAUUUACUGAUCAUUUGAGUUCUAAAGGCGAGCUAUUGAAUUCCUUAAGUAAGGGUUAAAUUGUUGAUAUUGGAAGACAUUCGAAAGCGAAAGCAUUUCUCGAUUUAGAUCUGACGCUAGGUACUAAAGUAUGGGUAUUAAAAGGAUUAGAGACCUUGUAGUCCAUACCUUAAACUAUGAGUGUUAACGUCCUCUUGCAAGGCGACUCUACUUCGUUAGACGAGUCAGGUGCAUGAGGGGGUUUAAAGCUAACGCGUGAAACACCGCCUGGGGAAUGUGGCCGCAAGGUUAAACUCAAAGGAAUUGAGGAGGCUUGUACAAGG